rnacentral:tRNA from 2 species
AGUCUUUUAGUUUAUAUAAAAUAUUAAAUUGCAAGUUUAAAGAAAGAUGGUACUAGGGACUU